rnacentral:tRNA from 2 species
AAGGCUUUAUGUUAAUUAAACACAUAGCCUUCAAAGCUAUAAAUAGGGGUUUAAUCCCUUAAGCCUUA